rnacentral:antisense_RNA from 1 species
UGUUAUGGCGGCUGUGCGCGGGGCAUCUACGGGUGCGCCGGGUUCCUAUGUCUCGGUCUGUCAACCCGCGUACAGCUGCCACCCAA